UACAGAGGGUGCGAGCGUUAAUCGGAAUUACUGGGCGUAAAGCGUGCGUAGACGGUAGCGUAAGUCAGAUGUGAAAGCCCCGGGCUCAACCUGGGAAUUGCAUUUGAGACUGCUCUGCUCGGGUGCGGAAGAGGGAAGCGGAAUUUCCGGUGUAGCGGUGAAAUGCGUAGAUAUCGGAAGGAACACCAGUGGCGAAAGCGGCUUCCUGGUCCGACACCGACGUUCAGGCACGGAAGCGUGGGGAGCAAACAGG
rnacentral:rRNA from 1 species